CCCUUAGUAUACCUAAGAUGACAUAUUAUGUAAAUUUUUGUUUAGUCAAUACCAUAAUGAGUUGCAAGUAGUUUAUUGGCUUUGUAAGGUUGAAAUUCCAUAAAGUUUUAUAUUUCAUAUUCAGUGUUAAUAUUCGGGUGGCUUCAAAACAGAGUCAAAUUUACAAAAGGUAUUCUGGAAUAGGACUCCGGUUCUGUUUUGUUGGUUUUCAGAAAUAAGGCCAUGAUUAAGAGGGAUGGCCAAGGGCAUUCACAGUGUGCCACUAGAGAUUAAAUUCUUGGACUGGCACAAGGAACCCUAGAGCUAAAGCUUUUGCUAAGAAUUUCAUUAAUCAAAAAGGAAAGUCAGAUAUUUGAAGAUAAUCAGAUACUGUCGUAGUUCCAACCAUAAAUGAUGCUGAUGGGGUGGGGGCAGGGGGGGUCUAUGUGACACAAUUUGUUAGC
rnacentral:ncRNA from 1 species